rnacentral:rRNA from 1 species
AUUGAACGCUGGCGGCAGGCCUAACACAUGCAAGUCGAGCGGAUGAAGGGAGCUUGCUCCUGGAUUCAGCGGCGGACGGGUGAGUAAUGCCUAGGAAUCUGCCUGGUAGUGGGGGAUAACGUCCGGAAACGGGCGCUAAUACCGCAUACGUCCUGAGGGAGAAAGUGGGGGAUCUUCGGACCUCACGCUAUCAGAUGAGCCUAGGUCGGAUUAGCUAGUUGGUGGGGUAAAGGCCUACCAAGGCGACGAUCCGUAACUGGUCUGAUAGGAUGAUCAGUCACACUGGAACUGAGACACGGACCAGACUCCUACGAGAGGCAGCAGUGGGGAAUAUUGGACAAUGGGCGGAAGCCUGAUCCAGCCAUGCCGCGUGUGUGAAGAAGGUCUUCGGAUUGUAAAGCACGUUAAGUUGGGAGGAAGGGCAGUAAGUUAAUACCUUGCUGUUUUGACGUUACCGACAGAAUAAGCACCGGCUAACUUCGUG